rnacentral:rRNA from 1 species
AGAGACAGCAGUAGCCACGGUAAUACAGAGGGUGCGAGCGUUAAUCGGAUUUACUGGGCGUAAAGCGUGCGUAGGCGGCUUUUUAAGUCGGAUGUGAAAUCCCUGAGCUUAACUUAGGAAUUGCAUUCGAUACUGGGAAGCUAGAGUAUGGGAGAGGAUGGUAGAAUUCCAGGUGUAGCGGUGAAAUGCGUAGAGAUCUGGAGGAAUACCGAUGGCGAAGGCAGCCAUCUGGCCUAAUACUGACGCUGAGGUACGAAAGCAUGGGGAGCAAACAGGAUUAGAUACCCGCGUAGUCCCUGUCUCUUAUAC